AGUGUCAGUCCCCGCUGCCACCCCCGGGAUGUGCCAGUGCCUCUGCCAGCUGUGCUGGGGCCAGACUCGCCUCUCACUGGGCUUGGAGAGAGAGCAGUGCCAGACCCCAUCUCAUCUCAGCCCGUGUUCCAUAAGGACACCUGGACUCUAAAGACUUACAGUCCCCAAAGUCAGGUGUCGAGUCUGUUGACUUCAUGGUGUCUUCAGAGACUGAAAAACUCCUGGAAUCUGACUGUGGGAUAACUGAUCAAGCCCUAAACCUCCACUGAACAGAAUGGGAGCUGGGCAUUUUGCUCAUAUCCAAAUGUGCACAGGUCCCCUUUAGAAAGAAAGACUGUACGACUG